AAGCUCGUAGUUGAAUUUCGGGUAUUUGUUGCUAGCUGGUCUCUCUGGCCAUGUUGGUUAACAGAUCCUCAUUUGCUGGACGGCUGGCGAUGAUCUUUAUCGAUUGUCGUCAGUUGCCAGAACGUUUACUUUGAGAAAAUUAGAGUGCUAAAAGCAGGCUCACGCCUAUAUAUAUUGCAUGGAAUAAUGAAAUAAGAUCUCGAUUUUAUUUCGUUGGUUUUAGAAAUUGAGAUAAUGAUUAAUAGGGAUAGUGGG
rnacentral:rRNA from 1 species